rnacentral:rRNA from 1 species
AUUGAACGCUGGCGGAAUGCUUUACACAUGCAAGUCGAGCGGCAGCGCGGCCUUCGGGCUGGCGGCGAGCGGCGAACGGGUGAGUAAUGCAUCGGAACAUGCCCAGUCGUGGGGGAUAACACUUCGAAAGAAGUGCUAAUACCGCAUACGUCCUGAGGGGGAAAGCGGGGGAUCGCAAGACCUCGCGCGAUUGGAGUGGCCGAUGUCAGAUUAGCUAGUUGGUGGGGUAAAGGCCUACCAAGGCGACGAUCUGUAGCUGGUCUGAGAGGAUGAUCAGCCACACUGGAACUUAGACACGGCCCAGACUCCUACGGGAGGCAGCAGUGGGGAAUUUUGGACAAUGGGGGCAACCCUGAUCCAGCCAUACCGCGUGAGUGAAGAAGGCCUUCGGAUUGUAAAGCUCUUUCGGCAGGAACGAAACGGUGGGCUCUAACAUAGUCCGCUAAUGACGGUACCUGAAGAAGAAGCACCGGCUAACUACGUG